GGGUGGGGUGUUGGCAGGGUUCUCCACCACGUAAGCUUGAGGGAGCAGGGUUUUGUCUUUUUCUGCACUGAAGCCCAGCUUCUAGAACAGUGCCUGGCUGCGGGUGAGCACUCGGCAAAUACCUGCCUUAGAAAGGUGAUUAAAAGAUGUAGAGUUCCUGGCACACGAUAGAAUCUCAUUAAGUGGUCACAUUGCCAUUGUCUGUACUCAACCAGGAAUUGGCACACUAUGGCCCACAGCCUGUUUUUGUAAAUAAAGUUUUAUUGGAACACAGCUAUGCCCAUUUCUUUACAUAUUGUCUGUGACUGCUUUCCUGCUAUAGUGGGGGAGUGGAAUCGUGAGACAGACCUGUGCCCUGCCGAGCCUAAAAUAUAUAUUGUCUGGCUCUUUACAGCAAAACUUUGUGGUUUCUGCUCUGAAUGUCAGGGUAACCCUGUCUGAGGAUGAUCACGGAUUUCAUUUUCCCUUGUUUGUUAGCGUUGCGGUCAGCCGCAAGUUGAAAACAAGGAACCAGCUUGAGGUACGCAUUCUCGAUGCCCUUUCUAAGAUACUUAUGGAGACUUUUCUUUUCCACUCCAAUUCUGCCAUGCUCUUUCGGCAUGGUCAGAGCUGGCUUCUCUGUGCCCUCCAGAUCUCAUAUGUAAGAUGGUGUUACUUUCAUUUCUUUGUAAAAAGAAACUCAACCCACCUGUCAAUUGCUGGUAUAUUCAUUAGGGAUUAACCAUGGGUCCUGCAACAAGUAGGCUCAGAGCACAGAGGACAUGAGUCAAAAUAAAAAAAGAUAACCAACCAGGUACAACUGUGCUUUGUAAUAUUAUAGAAUAGAAUGCUGAUGGGGUUCAGGAAGGAGUCCACUGUGUUUGUGGGGCACAGGAUACAUAAGAUUCUGAUUUACUUUUCCAUCAUGGUGAAUGGCAUGAUCUUAGACACCUUAGUUAGCUUUAUUCAAACUCAGUUUUUCAAUCUGUAAAAUGGCAAUGUUCACUAUAUGUUGUCACUCUCUUUGAUGGGCAGGGCCCACAGUUAGGAGCCUCUCGAGGCCUUGGUAUCUAGAAUGGUGAAGGAGAGCUUUCUGGAAUGAGUGAACAUGUGUCAAAUGCUCUGACGUCCUCAUUUGAAGGGGGCCCUGUCCCCUGUACCAGCUGAGCAAUGCGAGUGGGCCACUGUCCUGCUACCAUUUUAUAGUCAGCGGAUCUUUUUUUUUUUCUCUUUCUCUCCAGAAGGACAGAAUAACGGGCUCCCAGAUUCACAAGCCCCACCAAGAGGAUCACCCCAGGAACGCUUGGAGGCUGAGGAGUUCACUGAGGCUACUGCAUCUUGAGACUCAGGAUGAAGACCCAGCUUGGGGCUGUCAAAGGUUUUUUGCAUGUCUGACACCCAUGACUCCACCUGGACCUUAUGGCUCCACCCAGAAGCAAUUCAGCCCAACAGGAGGACAGCUUCAACCCAUUACGAUUUCAUCUCUGCCCCAACCACUCAGCAGCAAGCACCUGUUACCUGUCCACCCCCACCCCUUCCCCCAAACUGCCUUUGAAAAAUCCCUAACCUAUGAGCUUUGAAUAAGAUGAGUACGAACUUCAUCGCCCACGUGGCGUGGCCGGCCUCGUGUCUAUUAAAUUCUUUUUCUACUACAA
ensembl:lncRNA PVT1 Pvt1 oncogene